UUUUUGCUUCCUCUUAAAUCUGCCUGGCCAAUUUAAAGCCUGUGGAUAUUUCUUCCCCCUCGGGGAAAGCUUAUGUGAGGAUUUUCUUUUUUAACAGUUCAUUCCGUGAAACCAUUUUUUUUUCCUUGUUUGCUGUUAGAAAAUGUUGGAGCUGAACAUAAGGCUUUCAUUGCAGCUUGCUAUCAAGGGAACUAAGAAAGGAUGUAGGCAUAUUGUUAAUGUCUCUCUUCAAGCUGUAUUUGAGCUUACAUUUCAGGUCUCAUCUACUGGAGAAAGCCUGCUCACAAGCCUCCAUCAGUUAGUUACCCUCUGGUGAGAGAAAGCU
rnacentral:lncRNA from 1 species